GGGACAGAGACAGGGAGAGAGAGAGAUAGCGAGGAAAGAAGAAAGCACAGGGUCACAGGAAGACUGACGGGCAAAGACACAGUUACAGACCUAUGAACAGAGCCGCACGCCAAACAGGGACAAACCGUUGAGGUCUCACCACUCAGUACCGCAGCAUCUUUCUCCAGGAUCCCAGUGACAUGUGACCUCAUCUGCCUCUCUGCGUACCCUUAGCAGUAUAACCUCAAGCCAGAGGAUGGACCCAGGCAGUCCCCACCUGAUGACUGUUGGUCUUGACUGUGUGCCUCACAUUCAGAGUCUUCUCAGGUCCUACCUCCCGCCCUGUCACUGGGCAGCACAUGUCAUGGGGUGUGGCAGAACUGUGACCGGUUGCUCAGCAGCCCCAGGCAGAAGAGGAUAUGGAUGUGGUGUCAGGCAGAAAAUGCCCCCUGACCAAAACCUGCUGGCAUGACAUGGGAUGAAGCCCUGUCCGCCCCACCCUGGUGCUGUAAUGCCAGUACACCCUGGAAGCCUCCUGUCCUGGGCAGGUUGUCCCCCUCAGCGCUCUGCUUUCUGACUUUGGGCUUGUUUCUUUUCUCUUCAAUGAAACUGCAAGCUCCUCAGAGUUGGAGUUCAUUGGAUCCUUCCAGCCCUUCGCACAUUAGGAUACAUGAGCUGAGCCUCAGUGCAAUGGAAACAACUCACCUCUGAGCUGGUGCUUGGGGACAUUAGGCUCGGAAGUCCCAGGACAAAACAUCUGUGUUCUUCGAAGGAAAAUAUGAGAAGACAUCCCCAUGGCCUUUGCUGAAGCACAGAAUAUACAUUCUGUUCACACUGGUGGUGACAGAAUGAUAGUACUGAGAGCAUCUUUAUGUAAUGAUGAGUCUAAAAGGCAGCCUCGGCUCUCAGAUCGAAUGUUCACCUUCACCAGGGCUCAACUGGCUCCGGGGGCAUCUAAUAGAGUUCUGCAGCUUAGGAAGGUACCACUGGCUCUAUUUUGCUGGAGUGCCCAUUCUGUGAUUGAUUGGAGCUGAGCAUGAUACCUUCGGGCUGUGUUCUGUUCUAUCACCGAGAUGAUCCAAAGUCACUUCCUCUCUCUCAGUGACUGACCCUGCUCAGGUCUGGGGCAGUCUCUGCUCCCUGCCAGCAUCACUGGUCUAAAAACCCUAUGAGUCAGUUGUAUGGCUACUGGCACUCGUGCUGCUCUCAAUGAUCUAUGCUCAUCGAAAGCAGCAGAAGUCCCCAAGACCAACAUCAAGUUCUACUUAUGUAACUUGAAUAGCCACUUCGCCAGCCUCUACCUACAAAAUAAAGCUCUAUAUUUCCUAUUAAUAGCAGCAACCUCAGCACCUAGAAGCUGGACCCACUCACUGUGUCUCCUGGUUAUUUCUGGAGUCUCUGAGGGGUGACCUCACAAACAAGGGUGGUAAUGGUGGUCACCACACUGACUGCCUUGUCACCCUCUCUGCUUUGCUCCCCCUUCACCUCUCUGCUACCUGCUGCCUCCAUAGGUAUUGAGAGAUGUCUCAUUGGGAUCACUGUCCCUACAGGAAUGCCCAACCUGCCAAUUCUGGGUCUUCCCAAAGCUGGCAACUGGGCAGAGCAGAAGGACUCUUCUCUCCGCCCCUGAGGUGCAUGCAUGCCCUGGGCUGCACAGCAGGCCUGCUCUGCCCCACGGUCUUGCAACUUCUCUCCCAAACAUUUAACCAGCUUCUGGCCCUUGCUCAUUAAACAGAAUCUCACUGCAUCUCAAGAAAAAUAGUCCUGUCACUUUCUGGCCCCCCUUCCUUCAACUACAGAAGCUCAGAACCAGCCCCAGCGUUGGGAAGGGUGAAGAAGUCAUCGCAUCAUUUCUGUGUUCAUCAGGACUCUGAAGACAUAAAUGACAGAAACCCAGAGCAAAUUCGCAUAAACAAAAAUGGGACCCAUUUGGUAGGGAAGCUAAGAAGGCUUCUGGAACAGGUCACCAGUCUGAGGAAGAGCUGCAGAAAGCAGAGCCUUGGGGUGGGCCCCACCCAGACAGUCCGUCUCCAUGUGGCAGAGGGGUGUCCACUGGUGUCCCAAAUUCACAUUCUCCUGUUCAUCAACCCUGCUGAAGAAGGACUCUUCUUUCCCGGUGGCUACUUAUAUAUAAAACCAAGAAAAUACCAAGAGCAGCUCUGCUUGGGUCUGCUGUUGAUUUUGGAGGUGGCUGCCCUGGAAUUAGGUGCUAGACAUGUCUGGGGUACAGUGAGAUCUGUCACCAGCCAAAGAGGGGAUCACAGCCAGUAGUACCAAGCCUCCAUGCUCCGUAGCCCACCCCCUCCUCUCUCUGGCUUCCGUGCCGGCCAUCUCUCUGCUUUAUUCCUGGAUAAGGCACUGAGGUGGUGGGGGUGGAAGUGGCAAAGUUAAAUAUGUUGUCUAUCCUACCAGUGUCUGCACCUGCCUUCAGAUACCUCAAAGUGACUUGUUACAUUUUUCUUUGGCAUAUUUAAUUGUCUUCUUUUGUCCUGUUUCCCCAGCAUGCUGCCUGUCUGCUGAGUGGGGUGUGGGCUGCUGCCCUGAGGGGUGUGGGGUCAGUGCCGGGCAGCAGCCUCGGCAUGUCACCCUCCAUGGGACACUUGGGUCUCUUUGGUCAGUGCCACAGCUGUGCCACCUCUGUGUCAAGGCAUAGUGGGCUCUGCUUUGCCCAGUUAUUUCUGACUCAGAUACUCUGAGGACAUGAAACAGGACUUUUAAAAUUUAGUGUAAGGAGAGGACAUGUUGCCCCUGCUUCAGCCUGGGAGAGCCUCUUCCUUCCUCUUCUCCCUCCUAGUGCAGGGGAGGCUGACAGGAGGCAGCUGGGCUGGUCCCUGCUCCUUCUAGAGGAGGCGAGGCAGUGUGGAAGGCAGAGCCAGCCAGGCCCUGGUUGCUAUCGGUGUGGGAGCACUCCCCUCCCUCUGGGGUCUGAGCCCCUCUGAUCAGCACCUUGACCUCUGCUCUCCCACCUCACCUUGUUCCUCUCCUGCUCCAGUCUGGGUAGGGGAGAACCCAUGCUCCUCAACUCUCCUUUCUCUCAAACUCUGAUUCUUCCCUCAUCUGACCUCUCCCUUUUCUAAAGCCUCAGGCCUGUGAAACCUGCACAUCUUUAUUUUUUCCUGCCCUCUGUCAUUCCUUCCCUGAAGCAAAAGGCAUAGGUUGUCCUAGCUGCUUGACGGCAUUGGGAAAACAAUGGAGAAAUACUGGGUCGAAGUGAGUGUCUGGACCUGCCAUUCCACAAUGCCAUCCAGCUCAUGUGGGCCCCACUCCCAGGAUGGGGAUGAGGUAGCAUUAGCCCAGUUCCCACUGGCUCCGCCUGGGAGACGGGGGCCGGAAGUGGCUUCAGUCCUGUGUUCUUCAUCAAGUUGAUUGACAUCUGUGCGUCUCUCCUGGAGCUCCUUCCCUCUAGUACUCCCACCCUUCAUGGGAUACGGGAAACAGCUGGGAUAAACAGCAUGGAAGCCUGCCUGCCUCCGAAAAUGAAGCUCCUCCCAGCCUGUGGGGCUCUCAGACUGCACUUCACAGACGCAGUCAUGGGCACUUUGAGAAUUGAUGGGCUCAAGGCCGCUUAUUUGUAACCAGAUACUGCGUGAUCCAAAGCAGGGGAGGGCGUCAGCCUCCCUGUGAAGGUGUCUGGUCAGAGCUUUCGAGGAGUCGGCCCUGUCUUGGGGAAGCUCCCCUUGCCUGGCUUGCGUGGGCCAAUGCUUUGUCUUUGGGCCUUGCUGGGAGGAAAGGAGAUAGGCUCUGAUGGGCAGAGGCGGCUACUGUGCUUUCUCAAGUGUGUGAGCAUGGUCCUUUAGGAACAGCUCAGGGGACUAAUUGGGGGCUUCUGCAUGGGAAAUGUCACUGUGAUUUGUCAAGUCCUAUCAGUAGCCAUUGGAAGGUGACAAGUCACUGGAGAACUCACUGCUUAACCACUGGUUAACCAGGAAGCCUGGACAGAGGCUGCCACUCACGCAUCAGAGUGUGCCGCAUUAGGGCAAGUAACUGGGCCUCCUUCCAGGCUGUAACUAGAAGGGAAAUGGGGUGAGCUACAGCAGAGGAUGGCUUAUGUUUCUGCAAACUCACUGAGUUUCUCAGGGCCCGAUGACGCUGUCUGAAGGAACUUCAGAAAACUGGGGACUAGAAGGGCCCUGCAGCAAUUCACAAGUAAUUCAGCAAGAGUGGCUACUCUCUGGCCCUGUGCCAUUACUCAGUGGGGAACAGAACAGACCCAACCACCUCAUGAAGCUUCCCUGGAGCAGUGGAGACAGACGCUGAAUGCAUACAUUAGAGUUGUAGACAGAAUGAUGGCAGGUGUGCAGAGCUGCAGAGGACAGAUGGGUGCCCCUGGCAGGAAGCACAUCUUGGGGAGUGUUUGUGAACUUUCCAGGGAGGACCUGGGCCCUUUCUUCUCCCCAUCGGCCCUUGAGCCCCUCUCAGGUUCCAUUCCUCAUCCUCCUGUUUAAUUUCUUCAAGAGCUGCUUCCCCAGCCUGGCUAAUUCAGCAUGGGCUGAAGAGAUGGAGCAAGUGAGGGAGAUUGUCAGUGCUUGGAAGAUGACUGAGCUCCUUUCCCUGCUCAGAGAUCAGGCUGCUGAUCUCUGCUGGCCCUCAGUUCCAGACCUCUCCAACAGCUCUCCAAAAAAAAGGGGCCCUUUUCUGCCCUUCCUCAUGGCCAUCUGGCAGCCAUGAAUUAAUUCCUGAACUACCUUUACCUCCUAGACAUGGCAUUAAAACCCUAAUGGAUGGUACUAGUUUUCUUUCCCAGUUUUUAAUUACUUAGUGAGACUGGUUUUCCUUUAUAAGGAGUAGAUCUGAGACAGGUUUGAUAGGAAAAAGGUGGUCCAUGGCGUGAAAAUGGGAUUGCCAACUGCCUUCGGCUGAAGGCUGAUAGAGAAAUUGCAGAAUGCAUCUCAGAAGUGUUUAUUAGCAUCCUGAUGAAGAUAAAUGAGAGAUCUGAAAGGCAGUCUUCCAGAAGUGUUAGCAAUUUGUGCCCUGCAUGAAUCAAUUGCUCUUCCUACAAAGCACUUCAGCCUCCCUUUUCCGAAUCUGGGCUUAAAAAGAGAGCCCCACUGGAUGCAUAUGGCUCUGUCCCCAGCACUUGGCAAGGGGCUCAGUACGUAGCUGCUGAAUAAAGUCAUUCCUCACUUGUGGGCCUGCAGGGGGCGUUUGGAUGAGCGCUUGCAAAAAGCUACAGGUGUUCUCUCCAGAACAGUGCACCAUCGCAAAGACAAGCACACAGCCUGAAGGGCACCUUAGGACUGGCAAGCUCUCUGAAAUCUAUCCUUGGUCCUCUCUGGGUCCUCCUCCUGGGCCACAGUUUAUGUCUGUCAAGCGCCCUUGCAUGUAUGGUAUGCCCAGUACCCAUCAAACGCUUCUGUUUCUGUUUUUCUUGAAUACUAGGUGGUGGUGCAGAUUGGGUUGGGAAGGCCCAGGUGUGGAGCCAUGUCUAAUCUGCUGCUGCCUAACUGGGCUGCUAGGCGCCCAGCAAAUGUUGACUUCUCCUGUUUUUCAGCAGUUGGGAAGAUGUGGCAAAACAGGACCUAUAUUCCUUAUGGCAGCAGCAAGCUGGAUGGAGUGUCUGCAGCCUGCUUUAGGCAGGGCACGGUUGUGCAGUCUGUCACCAUCCCUCACCAUCCCCAUCAAUGCUGGCAUUAAUCCCACUUCUAUUUAUCACCUCAUCUGAUCAGCUGUUUUCUUAUAGCAGAGUUAAGUUAAAAAAAGUUUGUUCCUGAAGACAAAGACGUAUAUCUUGAAACAGAAGCUCCCUCUUUCUAUAUAUAUGUACGUAUAUACAUUUACACAUACAUGCAUACACAUAUAUAUUUAUUAUAUAUUUUUCCUCUUGUAGGACGUCUGCACGUCAUGUGAAUUUGUAACCAUCACCCUUCUGACAGGGUUGGUGUAAGGAUCCGGUGGACUGAUGGGUGCAAAGCCCCGAGCACAGUGCCUGGUACACAGCAAGUGCUCAAUACUUCUGGCCAGCCCUUAGGAGUGUUUCCUUGGGACCAGAGGGCUCUUCUGGAAGCCAAUGGCAUCUUCGCGUACCUGCUCUGAAAAAUUAUUGUUUGGGACUCAGCGCCCUCUAGUGGCUGCUCUCACUACUCACACAGCCCCUUCCUUCGAGGGGUGGACACUUUGAGGCCUCAUUCCUGCCUCCUCCCCUUCCUUUCACAUGGAAGAAAGCUCUAGAAUGGGAGAAAACUUUCCACUUCUGCAUUUCCUUUACCUCGUUCCUGACCUUAGGUCUGGGCACAGGAGGAGGGGCUUGGAGGUGGUGGCUGGAGCUUCUGGGGAUCCUGGGUGCAUAACUCUCAGAGGGGUGGUGCCUUCCUUCCCCACCCUACACCCACCGCACCGGCCCAUUCUCCUCCCAGAGCGUCCCUGGGCCAAGGGUUCCUAAGGUUUCCCCCAGACAGGGCCGGCGACAGCCCCGGCAGCGUAUCCACAGAAGUUAUUAUGAGGUAAUUUUAUUUCUUUCCAUUUUAGGUAAAAAUAGUAAAUACAAGAUAAUCUUAAUAAAGGUAAAAAUACAUCA